UACAGAGGGUGCAAGCGUUAAUCGGAAUUACUGGGCGUAAAGCGUGCGUAGGCGGCCAUUCAAGUCGGGUGUGAAAGCCCCGGGCUCAACCUGGGAAUUGCAUUCGAUACUGUGUGGCUAGAGUUCGGCAGAGGGAAGUGGAAUUUCUGGUGUAGCGGUGAAAUGCGUAGAUAUCAGAAGGAACAUCAGUGGCGAAAGCGACUUCCUGGACCAGAACUGACGAUCAGGCACGAAAGCGUGGGGAGCAAACAGG
rnacentral:rRNA from 1 species